rnacentral:rRNA from 1 species
UACGGGGGGAGCAAGCGUUGUUCGGAUUUACUGGCGUAAAGGGCGCGUAGGCGGCCUGUGCAAGUCAGUUGUGAAAUCUCCGGGACUUAACUCGGAACGGUCAGCUGAUACUGUUUUGCUAGAGUGCAGAAGGGGCAAUCGGAAUUCUUGGUGUAGCGGUGAAAUGCGUAGAUAUCAAGAGGAACACCUGAGGUGAAGACGGGUUGCUGGGCUGACACUGACGCUGAUGCGCGAAAGCGUGGGGAGCAAACAGG